CCUGUCGAUUGUCUAAUUAGAAUAAGAGAGUAGAAUUAUUUGAAGACAGGUGUGCCAUACAUCUAAUUUUAAUAUUAUAACAUAUCGAAAGUUUAUUAGUACCGUGAGGGAAAGUUGAAAGAGAAAAUUAAUGAAACAGAUUCUGAAAUUUGUUACCCAUGAGCAGACGAUAUUCGUUGUACCUUUUGAAUAAUGGGUUCGUAAGAAAAGUAUUUGGCAAACUUAAGUUAAUAAAUGUAGGUGUAGUGAAAACGAGUCUUAGGCAUUAGUCAAAUAGAGCCCGAAACCAAGUGAUCUAGUUAUGAGCAGUUUGAAGCCAUUUGAAUAAAAGGGUGGAGGAACGAACCGGUAAUUGUGGCAAAAAUUUCGGAAGACUUGUGACUAGCGGUGAAAAGCUAAUCGAACUUGGAAAUAGCUGGUUUUCUGCGAAAACUAUUGAAGUAGUGCGUCGUUAUAAAAGGUUCUUAUAUAGUAAAGCACUGAAUGGACACUUCUAUAGGGAGUGUAAAAUCAAACUAUGAAAGUAUAAGAAAAAAAACGAUAGACAGACAAUAGGCGAGAAGGUUUAUUGUCAAAAAGGGAACAACCUAGAUCAGGAGUUAAGGUUAUUAAUAAUAUUACUAAGUAGGAAAGAGGUUUAUCAGCUUGGAUAAAGACAAUGAGAAAGUAGGCUUGAAGCCAGCCAUCUUUGAAAGAUUACGUAAUAGUUCACUCAAUAAAUUAAUAGACCUCGAAGAUUAAGGUGGUUUAAGUUAUUACCAAAACUCUGAAUAUUAACUUCGUUGAUAUUAUGGUAGCGGAACGUUCUGUAAUAAUGAAUAAUAGCGAAAGCAUAUCUGAAGUGAUAAUGCGAAUAUGAGUAAAAAAUAGUGUGAGAAUCACUGUUCAUGGCCUGAGGUUUCCAAUAGAAGAAUGAUUCGGAUUGGGUUAUACAGUCCCUAAGAAGAAAUUAUUAUUGAUAGCGAUGGGGGAAGAAUAAGAAGUGUAAGAAAUUAUUUUUUUUUGGGCUGUACUGAAACUAACACAAGUAGGCGUAAAGUGAUGGUAUAAUUUAUCUUAAGGAAUUCGGCAAAAUAACUCUGUAAGUUUGCAAGAAAGGGUGUUGAUUAUUAAUAAAGUUUAAUAAAUUAUUUGUUAGUGAUUGAUCUCAGAAAAGAGGGGGUGUCGACUGUUUACCAAAAACAUAGCUUUCAGCAAAGGGUUUUAAACGUGAAGUAUUGAAAGUGAGGCCUGCCCAAUGAUUGUAUCUAAAUUUAAGUAAUAAAAAAGUUAUUUAAUUAAGGACAAUUAAAUGGCCGCGGUAAAUCUGACCGUGAUAAUGUAGCGUAAUCAAUAGCCAAUUAAUUGUUGGCAAGUAUGAAUGGCGUAACGAAUGCCCUACUGUCUCAAGAUAAAAACCAAUGAAAUUGAAAUCGUAGUGAAGAUGCUACGUAAAAAUUGUAAGACGAGAAGACCCCAUUGAGCUUUACUGGAGGCUUAUAUUGUUUUUUAAAAAUUAAGAUUUAGACGAUGUGGGUGUAGGGGCUGUAAGAAGUUAUACUGAAAAACCACUUUUUAAUUAUAAAAAACUAAAUUAAGGUAAAGUGUAAGUUAGACAGUUUGGUUGGGGCGACCGCCUUCUAAAGAGUAACGAAGGCGCACAUAAGGUAAAUAAUGUAAUAAAAUAAAGUAAAAAGCUUGACAGUGAGGAGGACUUCCGAGCUGACACAUGUUAGUUCUGGAAUAGAAUUGAUUAUGUGGGUUAUAAUGACCCGUUAAUUAAGUGUGGGAUUGUUAACGAGCAACGAAUAAAAGUUACCAUGGGGAUAACAGCGUAAUAUUGUUUGAGAGUUCAUAUCGAUGACAAUGUUUGCGACCUCGAUGUUGAAUUGCGAUAUCCUGGAGGUGCAGCCGUUUCCAAGGGUUGGACUGUUCGUCCAUUAAAAUCGUACAUGAUUUGAGUUCAGACCGGCGUGAGCCAGGUCGGUUUCUAUCUACAAUUUAUAAAGGAAACAUAAAAUAUAACUACAUUUUAGUACGAAAGGAGUAAAUGAUAGUUGUCCGCUGGUGAGCCAAUUAUUAGGUUGUUGGGUAGCUACGACAGUAGAGGUUACUAAGAAUAUAUAAUCCCUGAAGGUAUCUUAAGGGAGAAGAAAAAUAUUGUGUUUCUGAUAUUAAGAUUG
rnacentral:rRNA from 1 species